rnacentral:rRNA from 1 species
GUGGGGAAUAUUGGACAAUGGGGGGAACCCUGAUCCAGCCAUGCCGCGUGUGUGAAGAAGGCCUUUUGGUUGUAAAGCACUUUAAGCGAGGAGGAGGCUACCGAGAUUAAUACUCUUGGAUAGUGGACGUUACUCGCAGAAUAAGCACCGGCUAACUCUGUGCCAGCAGCCGCGGUAAUACAGAGGGUGCAAGCGUUAAUCGGAUUUACUGGGCGUAAAGCGCGCGUAGGUGGCCAAUUAAGUCAAAUGUGAAAUCCCCGAGCUUAACUUGGGAAUUGCAUUCGAUACUGGUUGGCUAGAGUAUGGGAGAGGAUGGUAGAAUUCCAGGUGUAGCGGUGAAAUGCGUAGAGAUCUGGAGGAAUACCGAUGGCGAAGGCAGCCAUCUGGCCUAAUACUGACACUGAGGUGCGAAAACAUGGGGAGCAAACAGGAUUAGAAACCCGAGUAGUCC